rnacentral:sRNA from 1 species
GCUGGGCGUAGUGGCGUGCACCUGUAAUCCCAGCUACUUGGGAGGCUGGGGCAGGAGAAUCGCUUGAACCCAGGAGGAAGAGGUUGCAGUGAGCUGAGAUGGCACCACUGCACUCCAGCCUGGGUGAGAGAGUGAGACUCUGUCUCAA